ensembl:lncRNA
GCCUGGGGUUGUUGUUGAUUGAGCUCUGGUUGUAGUUGUUGGUUCAGCCGUAGAUGUAAGUUGUGUUGUUGUUGUUGUUGUUUCUGUGGAAGGGACUGAGUUUACUGUAACAGUCAUAGAUUCUGUUGUUGCAGAUGCAGGUGAGUUUGUUGAGUCAGGUUUUUGUGUAGGUUUGGCAGUGGUUGUAGACAGAGUUUCAGUUGUUGCUGAGCAGUAUUGUAUCAGCUGUUGUGUCACUUUUAAGCAGAAUUGUGUCGUUUGUGUAGCUGAGCUUGAUGUAACAGUCAUGUUUGUUGUAACCAGGGUUGUAGAUUGAGCUGUACUUGUUGUAGGUAGGUAUGUUGUUGCUGUCUGUGUUGUGGUGCUGUGUUGGGAUGUAAUUGAUUGUUUUGUUGUAGAUGUUAAAACAGUUGUGGUUGUUGGUUCAGCCGUAGAUGUUAAAACAGUUAUGGUUGUUGGUUCAGCUGUAGAUGUAAGUUGUGUUGUUGUUGUUUCUGUAGGAGGGGCUGUAAUUGUAACCCGAGAUGUAGGUGUAGCUGAGUUUGUUGAAAUCAGGGUUGUAGAUUGAGCUGUACUUGUUGUAUGUAGGGAUGUUGUUGCUGUCUGUGUUGUGGUGCUUUGUUCGGGUAUAGUUGAUUUUUCAGUUGUAGAUGUUGACGCAGUUGUGGUUGUUGGUUCAGCUGUAGAUGUAAGUUGUGUGGUUGUUGUUUCUGUAGGAGGGGCUGUAGUUGUAAACAGAGUUGCAGUUGUAGGUGAGUUUGUUGUAACCUCAGUUGUGGAUUGAGCUGUACUUGUUGUAGGUAGGGAUGUUGUUGUUGACUGCAUUGUGGUGCUUUGUUCAGAUGUAGUUGAUUGUUCUGUUGUAGAUGUUAAAACAGUUGUCGUUGUUGGUUCAGCCAUAGAUGUAAGUUGUGUUGUUGUUUCUGUAGGAGGGGCUGUGGUUGUAAACUGAGAUGUACUUGUAAGUGAGUUUGCUGUAACCACGGUUGUAGAUUGAGGUGUAUUUUUUGUAGGUAAGGAUGUUGUUGUUGUCUGCAUUGUGGUGCUUUGUUCAGGUGUUGUUGAUUGUUCAGUUGUAGAUGUUAAAACAGUUGUAGUUGUUGGUUCAGUUGUAGAUCUUAAAACAGUUGUUGUUGUUGGUUUACCCGUAGAUGUAAGUUGUGUUGUUUCUGUAGGAGGGGCUCUAGUUGUAAGCAGAGUUGCAGUUGUAGGUGAGUUUGUUGAAACCUCAGUUGUAGAUUGAGCUGUACUUGUUGUAGGUAUGGAUGUUGUUGCUGUCUGCAUUGUGGUGCUGUGUUCAGAUGUUGUUGAUUGUUCAGUUGUAGAUGUUGCAGCAAUUGUGGUUGUUGGUUCAGCAAUAGAUGUAAGUUUUGUUGUUGUUGUUUCUUUAGGAGGGCCUGUAGUUGUAACUUGAAAUGUAGUUCUUGGUGAGUUUGUUGAAACCUCAGUUGUAGAUUGAGCUAUACUUGUUGUAGGUUGGGAUUUUGUUCCUAUCUGUGUUGUGGUGCUUUGUUCUGAUGUAGUUGAUUGUUCUGUUGUAGAUAUUAAAACAGUUGUGGUUAUUGGUUCAGUUGUAGAUGUUAAAAAAGUUGUGGUUGUUGGUUCAGCCGUAGAUGUAAGUUGUGUUUCUGUUGUUUCUGUUGAAGGGGCUGUAGUUGUAACCUGAGAUGUAGGUAUAGCUGAGUUUGUUGUAACCAGGGUUGUAGAUUGAGCUGUAUUUGUUGUAGGUAGAGUAGUUGUUGCUGUCUGCAUUGUGGUGCUUUGUUCAGAUGUAGUUGAUUGUUCAGUUGUAGACGUUGACGGAGUUGUGGUUGUUGGUUGAGUUGUAGAUGUUAAAACAGUUGUGGUUGUUGGUUCAACCGCAGAUGUAAAUUGUGUUGUUGUUGUUUCUAUAGGAGGGGCUGUAGUUGUAAGCAGAGAUGCAGUUGUAGGUGAGUUUGUUGUUACCUCAGUUGUAGAUUGAGCUGUACUUGUAGGUAGGGAUGUUUUUACUGUCUGCAUUGUGGUGCUUUUUUCAGAUGUAGUUGAUUGUUCAGUUGUAGAUGAUGAAGCAGUUGUGGUUAUUAGUUCAUUUGUAGAUGAUGAAGCAGUUGUGGUUGUUGGUUCAGCUGUAGAUGUAAGUUGUGUUGUUUCUGUAGGAGGGGCUAUAGUUGUAACCCGAGGUGUAGUUGUAGGUGAGUUUGUUGUAACCAGGGUUGUAGAUUGAGCUGUACUUGUUGUAGGUAGGGAUGAUGUUGUUGUCUGCAUUGGGGUGCUUUGUUCAGAUGUAGUUGACUGUUCAGUUUUAGAUGUUGAAGCAGUUGUGGUUUUUGGUUCAGCAGUAGAUGUAAGUUGCAUUGUCUCUGCUGGAGGGCCUGGAGUUGUAAGAAGAGUUGCAGUUGUAGGUGAGUUUGUUGUAACCUCAGUUGUCGAUUGUGCUGAACUUGUGGUAGGUGGUGGUGAUGUUGUUGCUGUCUCUGUUGUUGUGCUUUGUUCAGAUGUAGUUGACUGUUCAGUUUUAGAUGUUGAAGCAGUUGUGGUUGUUGGUUCAGAAGUAGAUGUAAGUUGCGUUGUCUCUGUUGGAGGGCCUGGAGUUGAAAGAAGAGUUGCAGUUGUAGGUGAGUUUGUUGUAAUCUCAGUUGUAGAUUGAGCUGUACUUGUUGUAGAUAGGGAUGUUGUUGCCGCCUGCGUUGUGGUGCUGUGUUCAGAUGUAGUUGAUUGUUCAGUUGUAGAUGUUGAAGCAGUUGUGGUUGUUAGUACAGUUGUAUAUGAUGAAUCAGUUGUGGUUGUUGGUUCAUUUGUAGAUGAUAAAACAGUUGUGGUUGUUGGUUCAGCAGAAGAUGUAAGUUGUGUUGUUGUUUCUGUAGGAGGGGCUGAAGUUGUAACCUGCGAUGUAGUUGUAGGCGAGUUUUUUGUAACCAGGGUUGUAGAUUGAGCUGUACUUGUUGUAGGUAGGGAUGAUGUUGUUGUCUGCAUUGGGGUGCUUUGUUCAGAUGUAGCUGAUUGUUCAGUUGUAGAUGUUGAAGCAGUUGUGGUUGUUAGUUCAGUUGUAGAUGUAAGUUGUGUUGUUGUUGUUUCUGUAGGAGGGCCUGGAGUUGUAAGCAGAGUUGCAGUUGUAGGUGAGUUUGUUGUAACCUCAGUUGUAGAUUCAGCUGUACUUGUUGUAAGUAGGGAUAUUGUUGCCAUCUGUGUUGUGGUGCUUUGUUCUGAUGUAGUUGAUUGUUCUGUUGUAGAUGUUAAAACAGUUGUGAUUAUUGGUUCAGCCGUAGAUGUAAGUUGUGUUGUUGUUGUUUCUGUAGGAGGGCCUGGAGUUGUAAGCAAAGUUGCAGUUGUAGGUGAGUUUGUUGUAACCUCAGUUGUAGAUGGGGCUGUACUUGUUGUAGAUAGGGAUGUUGUUGCCGUCUGCGUUGUGGUGCUGUGUUCAGAUGUAGUUGAUUGUUCUGUCGUAGAUGUUAAAACAGUUGUGGUUGUUGGUUCAGGUGUAGAUGAUGAAGCAGUUGUGGUUGUUAGUUCAGUUGUAGAUGUAAGUUGUGUUGUUGUUGUUUCUGUAGGAGGGCCUGGAGUUGUAAGCAGAGUUGCAGUUGUAGGUGAGUUUGUUGUAACCUCACUUGUAGAUUGAGCUGUACUUGUUGUAAGUAGGGAUAUUGUUGCCAUCUGUGUUGUGGUGCUUUGUUCUGAUGUAGUUGAUUGUUCUGUUGUAGAUGUUAAAACAGUUGUGAUUAUUGGUUCAGCCGUAGAUGUAAGUUGUGUUGUUGUUGUUUCUGUAGGAGGGCCUGGAGUUGUAAGCAGAGUUGCAGUUGUAGGUGAGUUUGUUGUAACCUCAGUUGUAGAUUGAGCUGUACUUGUUGUAGAUAGGGAUGUUGUUGCUGUCUGCGUUGUGGUGCUGUGUUCAGAUGUAGUUGAUUGUUCUGUUGUAGAUGAUGAAUCAGUUGUGGUUGUUGGUUCAGCUGUAGAUGAUGAAUCAGUUGUGGUUGUUGGUUCAGCUGUAGAUGUAAGUUUUGUUGUUGUUUCUGUAGGAGGGGCUGUAAUUGUAACCUGUGAUGUAGUUAUAGGUGAGUUUGUUGUAACCAGGGUUGUAGAUUGAGCUGUACUUGUUGUAGGUAAGGAUGAUGUUGUUGUCUGCAUUGGGGUGCUUUGUUCAGAUGUAGUUGAUUGUUCAGUUGUAGAUGUUGAAGCAGUUGUGGUUGUUAGUUCAGUUGUAGAUGUAAGUUGUGUUGUUGUUGUUUCUGUUGGAGGGCCUGGAGUUGUAAGCAGAGUUGCAGUUGUAGGUGAGUUUGUUGUAACCUCAGUUGUAGAUUGAGCUGUACUUGUUGUAGGUAGGGAUGUUGUUGCCGUCUGUGUUGUGGUGCUUUGUCCUGAUUUAGUUGAUUGUUCUGUUGUAGAUGUUAAAAUAGUUGUGGUUGUUGGUUCAGCUGUAGAUGAUGAAUCAGUUGUGGUUGUUGGUUCAGCUGUAGAUGAUGAAUCAGUUGUGGUUUUUGGUUCAGCUGUAGAUGUAAGUUUUGUUGUUGUUUCUGUAGGAGGGGCUGUAAUUGUAACCUGUGAUGUAGUUAUAGGUGAGUUUGUUGUAACCAGGGUUGUAGAUUGAGCUGUACUUGUUAUAGGUAAGGAUGAUGUUGUUGUCUGCAUUGGGCUGCUUUGUUCAGAUGUAGUUGAUUGUUCAGUUGUAGGUGUUGAAGCAGUUAUGGUUGUUAGUUCAGUUGUAGAUGAUGAAGCAGUUGUGGUUGUUGGUUCAGCAGUAGAUGUAAGUCUUGUUGUUUCUGUAGGAGGGGUUGUAGUUGUAGGUGAGUUUGUUGUAACCUCAGUUGUAGAUUGAGCUGUACUUGUUGUAGGUAGGGAUGUUGUUGCCGUCUGCGUUGUGGUGCUUUGUUCAGAUGUAGUUGAUUGUUCUGUCGUAGAUGUUAAAACAGUUGUGCUUGUUGGUUCAGCUGUAGAUGAUGAAGCAGUUGUGGUUGUUGGUUCAGUUGUAGAUGUUAAAACAGCUGUGGUUGUUGGUUCAGCUGUAGAUGUAAGUUUUGUUGUUGUUUCUGUAGGAGGGGCUGUAAUUGUAACCUGUGAUGUAGUUAUAGGUGAGUUUGUUGUAACCAGGGUUGUAGAUUGAGCUGUACUUGUUGUAGGUAAGGAUGAUGUUGUUGUCUGCAUUGGGGUGCUUUGUUCAGAUGUAGUUGAUUGUUCAGUUGUAGAUGUUGAAGCAGUCGUGGUUGUUAGUUCAGUUGUAGAUGUAAGUUGUGUUGUUGUUGUUUCUGUUGGAGGGCCUGGAGUUGUAAGCAGAGUUGCAGUUGUAGGUGAGUUUGUUGUAACCUCAGUUGUAGAUUGAGCUGUACUUGUUGUAGGUAGGGAUGAUGUUGUUGUCUGCAUUGGGGUGCUUUGUUCAGAUGUAGUUGAUUGUUCAGUUGUAGGUGUUGAAGCAGUUAUGGUUGUUAGUUCAGUUGUAAACGAUGAAGCAGCUGUGGUUGCUGGUUCAGCAGUAGAUGUAAUUCUUGUUCUUUCUGUAGGAGGUGUUGUAGUUGUAAGCAGAGUUGCAGUUGUAGGUGAGUUUGUUGUAACCUCAGUUGUAGAUUGAGCUGUACUUCUUGAAAGUAGUGAUGUUGUUGCCAUCUGUAUUGUGGUGCUUUGUUCAGAUAUAGUUGAUUGUUCUGUUGUAGAUGUUAAAACAGUUGUGGUUGUUGAUUCAGUUGUAGAUGAUGAAGCAGUUGUGGUUGUUGGUUCAGUUGUAGAUGUUAAAAGAGUUUUGGUUGUUGGUUCAGCUGUAGAUGUAAGUUUUGUUGUUGUUUCUGUAGGAGAGGCUGUAAUUGUAACCCGAGAUGUAGUUGUAGGUGAGUUUGUUGUAACCAGGGUUGUAGAUUGAGCUGUACUUGUUGUAGGUAGGGAAGUUGUUGCCGUCUGCGUUGUGGUGCUGUGUUCAGAUGUAGUUGAUUGUUCUGUCAUAGAUGUUAAAACAGUUGUGGUUGUUGGUUCAGCUGUAGAUGUAAGUUUUGUUGUUGUUUCUGUAGGAGGGGCUGUAAUUGUAACCCGAGAUGUAGUUGUAGGUGAGUUUGUUGUAACCUCAGUUGUAGAUUGAGCUGUACUUGUUGUAGGUAGGGAUGUUGUUGCCAUCUGCAUUGUGGUGCUGUGUUCAGAUGUAGUUGAUUGUUCUGUCAUAGAUGUUAAAACAGUUGUGGUUGUUGGUUCAGCUGUAGAUGUAAGUUUUGUUGUUUCUGUAGGAGGGGCUGUAAUUGUAACCCGAGAUGUAGUUGUAGGUGAGUUUGUUGUAACCAGGGUUGUAGAUUGAGCUGUACUUGUUGUAGGUAGGGAUGAUGUUGUUGUCUGCAUUGGGGUGCUUUGUUCAGAUGUAGUUGAUUGUUCAGUUGAAGAUGUUAAAACAGUUGUGGUUGUUGGUUCAGCUGUAGAUGAUGAAGCAGUUGUGGUUGUUGGUUCAACCGUAGAUGUAAGUUGUGUUGUUGUUGUUUCUGUAGGAGGGGCUGUAGUUGUAAGCAGAGUUGCAGUUGUAGGUGAGAUUGUUGUAACCUCAGUUGUAGAUUGAGCUGUACUUGUUGUAGGUAGGGAUUUUGUUCCUGUCUGUGUUGUGGUGCUUUGUUCUGAUGUAGUUGAUUGUUCUGUUGUAGAUGUUAAAACAGUUGUGGUUGUUGGUUCAGCUGUAGAUGAUGAAGCAAUUGUGGUUGUUGGUUCAGCUGUAGAUGAUGAAGCAGUUGUGGUUGUUGGUUCAACCGUAGAUGUAAGUUGUGUUGUUGUUGUUUCUGUAGGAGGGGCUGUAGUUGUAAGCAGAGUUGCAGUUGUAGGUGAGAUUGUUGUAACCUCAGUUGUAGAUUGAGCUGUACUUGUUGUAGGUAGGGAUUUUGUUCCUGUCUGUGUUGUGGUGCUUUGUUCUGAUGUAGUUGAUAGUUCAGUUGUAGAUGUUGAAACAGUUAUGGUUGUUGGUUCAGCUGUAGAUGUAAGUUUUGUUGUUGUUUCUGUAGGAGGGGCUGAAAUUGUAAUCCGAGAUGUAGUUGUAGGUGAGUUUGUUGUAACCAGGGUUGUAGAUUGAGCUGUACUUGUUGUAGGUAGGGAUGAUGUUGUUGUCUGCUUUGGGGUGCUUUGUUCAGAUGUAGUUGAUUGUUCAGUUGUAGGUGUUGAAGCAGUUGUGGUUUUUGGUUCAGUUGUAGAUGUUGCAGCAGUUGUGGUUUUUGGUUCAGCCGUAGAUGUAAGUUGUGUUGUUGUUGUUUCUGUAGGAGGAGCUGUAGUUGUAAGCAGAGUUGUAGUUGUGGGUGAGUUUGUUGUAACCUCAGUUGUAGAUUGAGCUGUACUUGUUGUAGGUAGGGAUGAAUUUGCUGACUGCAUUGUGGUGCUUUGUUCAGAUGUAGUUGAUUGCUCAGUUGUGAGUUGUGUUGUUUUUUCUGUAGGAAGGCUUGUAGUUGUAAGCCGAGUUUUAGUUGUAGCUGUGUUUGUUCUAACAGUCGUAGAUUCAGUUGUUGCAGUUAUAGGUGAGUUUGUUGAUUCAGGUGUUUGUGUUGGUUUGGCAGUGGUUGUAAACAGAGUUUCAGUUGUUGUUGAACAGUAUUGUAUAUGCUGUUGUGUCAGUUGUAAGCAGAAUUGUGUCGUUUGUGCAGGUGAGUAUGAUGUGACAGUCAUAGAUUCAGUUGUAGGUGAGUUUGCUGACUCAGCUGAUGCGCUACAAAACACUGUUGUUAAAAUCAAAAGUACAAAGCAAUUUUAGAGCAAUUUUCAUAUUUAAAUAAGUAACAAGAGAAAUAAGGAAUCUGGAUGUUCAGUAACUUACAGACCUAAACUUAACAAUGCAAUUGUCAGUGUUUUUCUACUCAUCUUGGUAGCUGUCAAAUAGACCACCUGUAAACAUAUAAUACAUAACAUUAACAAACAUGUAAUGAAUGGCAUCAGUUUUGGCAUGUCAGUGAAGUGAGAAAAAAUUAAUAGUACACCCUCUUUCCAGAUAUUUAAUAUGUUUUUUUUUGUCUUGUUUUGUUUUAUUUUCCUGUGAAUGAAAGACGAUUUGUCAUUUUUGCACAGUCCACAUUAAUGAAGAUGAAAGUAGUUAUGAUCAAUAAAAACACAUGGGAAGAAUUACACUACCAUUCAAACGUUUAAG